CUGAUACUCCCUCCGUCCGAAAAAGCUUGUCACAAGCUUGUCCCUCAAAUGGAUGUAUCUAUCACUAAUUUGAUGCUAGAUACAUCCACUAACUUGAUGCUAGAUACAUCCAUUUAAGGGACAAUCUUUUUCGGAUGGAGGGAGUACGUC
rfam:Triticum aestivum genome assembly, contig: Triticum_aestivum_CS42_TGACv1_scaffold_485761_6AS